GCAGGAGUGAGACGGACUAUCUGGGUAAGUGGUCUGUGAUAACAGCCUCAUGCUCAACGUCAUCAAAACCAAGUAGCUCAUUGUUAACGUCAGAAAGGGGACACUAGGAGACCAUCCAGCCAGCUCUCAAUGGAAAUCACGAUUGAAAUGAAGUUGCGCCUCUUCGUUUGGAUAUGCGCGGAUAUCAUGUUUCGUGUGCUUCGGGGUGAAGAGAGCCUGCUUACAUUUGAAACAGGAUGUGCUUACUGUUGACACCGAAGAUAAUCCAAUGAUAAAAACCCACAGAAAAGGUGCAUGACCAAAGGUGGCAAAUAUAACUGCCUCCUGGUAGUUUUGAGCAAAUGGAUACAGUCGCAUCAAAUCUGCUUGCGCAGUUUAUUUUAAGUACCGUAAAAUAAACGUUCUCUUGUCCCUUUUCAGUUUUGGUCUCAAUGGCGAUGAUUAAGAUGCUGUUAUUUUAUAUUAUUCAAAAGAAAGCGUUUGAUCUUUUUUCGUUUCCUCCUUCAAGUGAAUGGUCCAUAAGCAGCAAUAAUUUACGAACAAUUACGGUUAUUCCAGGAACCCAGUCCGGAGUUCCACCCGCCGCUCUCCACGCCAAUCGUUGUGACGUCACAAAGCCCCGAACACCGGGAUCGCACGUCACAAAGGGAGAAAGUAUCCGAAACGGGCGCAGCUGAUACGCCCGAGAGCCGGUUGCUUCGUCAAUAUGUUAAGGAAAUUAUUGUGAUAUGUUAACCAUCUUUACUGAUAGAUCAAAAGAUAUUUUAACUGGGAACGUGGGUGUGGCUGUUUUUGUGUCUGACUUGCAGGUUUACCUUUCGCAAGUGCAAGUCCAAGACAGCUGGUCAGGUAACCAAAAAACACUCAAGUGUUACAUGCUCAAGGAGAUCUGUGUUUUUUUUUGUGAGAAUGAUGUAACGGUCUUUUGGAGGUCACCUGAUGUGAUUUUCCCGCCGAUGUGAGGCCACGUGAUGACAUGUGCUCCACGGGUAUAUAAGGGUCGACCCAGGUGACGCAGUUAGUUUUUUUUAAUUUGUAGAUUUCCAGGUAGAACGUGCUGUGUCUCUGUUUGCGUGUUUGUUUUUGUGACGCAAUUUCAUUUUUAAAACGGUUGUGCGUUGCAAGAUACCAUAUUAUUGGACUGGAAAUUUACUCAAUUCCAACAGUAGAAGGGAGAGUGAAGUCUUUAUCGAAGUUACCGGAUCAAAGGAUCAAGAGGAGUUGGCAUCGUUUGGCAGUUUAACAAAGGAUUGACCUUAUUGAGUCUUCGUUGGAGGAGUAGCGACCUGCAUCAAGAUAACUCUUGCCAAAAAGAGCAAAGAGUUCAUGCAACGGUUUGCUCUCUCUCUAAAAGAAUUUAAGUGAGACAUGCAAGUGCAGUCCAGCAUAUAGCGGGAGGAGAAGAUGGCAGCGUGCUGCACGUGCGCAGCUCUCCGGUGAAAAAUGAUGUCAUGUCUGUUAAAUAGGGGCCAUGGACAAUUCUGAUUUGAUGGAGAAAGCACAGAGGAACAUUUGGAGAAAUUCCUGAAACGCCCGUCCGCUGCUGUCGUUACUGUGUGGUUGGGAAUCUUUCGGAGGGUAGGCCUCAAAAUCCCCAGCCUUGCCUGCUUUUGGCGACCGAGAAGGAGGUCGAAUUGUUCGGCAGAGAUGCCGCUCAGUACUCAGUGUCGGAGAGCUGAUCGGAGCUCGAAGUUUUCGGAUGACUCAGAAUCGGACCGUGGUCGGCAUGGCAGGGAGAGUUUUUCUUCCUCCUCCCGUCUGCGUGAGAUGUUGGACAUUUGAGAAACUUUGAACUUUACUGUGCUCACGGACUUUAUUCAUCAAGUUAUGGUAUUGUGCACUGUUGUAACUAUAUGUAUAAUUAUGUGGUUUUGUCAGUUUUUUUAGUCUUGGUUUGUCCUGUGUUUUGUGAUAUCACACCGGAGGAAAUAAUGUAUCAUUUCUUAAUGCAUGAAUUACUAAAUGACAAUAAAAGGGGACUACGUGUCUUCAUAAUCUAAUCUAAUAUGGUAAUGAUAUAGAGUACCUAUAAAAAUAUUCACCCCUCCCAGGAAGUUUUCAUGUUUUAUUGUUUUAUGACAGUGGAUUUAAUUUGGCUUUUUUUGACACGAUCAACAGAAAAAAACUCGUUUGUGUCAAAGUGAAACAAGAUCUCUACAAAGUGAUCUAAAUUAAUUAUAAAUAUAAAACACAAAAUAAUUGAUUGCGUAAGUAUUCAUCCCCUUCAAGUCAGUAUUUAGUAGAUACACCUUUGGCAGCAAUUACAGCCUUGAGUCUGUGUGGAUAGGUCUCUAUCUGCUUUGCACAUCUGGACCCUGUAAUUUUCCCCCAUUCUCCCCCAUUUUCCAAAGGAGGGAGGAGAAGGUGGCAGCGUGCGCAGCCGUUCUAAAUGAUAUCAAUAUGUGUUAACUAGGGGGCCAUGCACAAUCCUGAUUUGAUGGAGACAGCCUUGAUAAGCAUGGAGGAACACCUGGAGAAACUUCUGAAAUGCCCGCUUUGCUGCCGCUGCUACUGUGCGAUCGAGAAUCUCCGGAGGGGAAGGCCCCAAAUCCUCAGCAUUGCCUAUUGCUGGGGCUGGGAUUGAAGCAUUUGGCAGAGAUGGUGCUCAGUGCUCGGUGUCGGAGGCUCAGAGUUUUCGGAUGGACUCAAGAGUCGGCUGUGGUCGGGUGCUUCCAGGAUGCUGCAUCGGCAAGUUUGCGGCACUGGAAGCUCAUGGCAGGAAGAGUUUUUUUUCUUCCUUCUACCAUCUGUGUGAGAUGAUGGGACUUUCGAGAGACUUUGAGACUUUUUUUUACCAUGCCCAUGGUCUUCUUCAUCAAAUUACGGUAUUGCUUUGCACUGUUGUAACUAUAUGUUAUAAUUAUGUUGUUUUUGUCAGU